rnacentral:rRNA from 1 species
UACGUAGGGAGCGAGCGUUGUCCGGAUUCAUUGGGCGUAAAGAGCUCGUAGGCGGUUCAGUAAGUCGGGUGUGAAAUCUCCGUGCUCAACACGGAGCGGCCACCUGAUACUGCUGUGACUCGAGUCCGGUAGGGGAGUGUGGAAUUCCCGGUGUAGCGGUGAAAUGCGCAGAUAUCAGGAGGAACACCGGUGGCGAAGGCGGGUCUCUGGGCCGAUACUGACGCUGAGGAGCGAAAGCGUGGGGAGCGAACAGG